rnacentral:lncRNA from 1 species
CUUUGUUGAGUUUGUAUCCGUGGUUGAGUCUAAUUGUUGGUUUUGAUUGUGUUCGUCGUCGUAGUUCAUCUGCACCAUUGUUGUUCUUAGUUUCCACCGCUACCCCAUCCGCUGUUUCGAAACAACAAGUCGAAGCCACCACAUUACUUGACUUACCUACACUAACCACCUUGUGUGAUCUCUCGCCGCCGCGCUAACCCUAGAUAGAUUGUCAGCCGCUGUUACUUUGCCUGCUUCGCAGCCCUCCUUACAUCAUCAGGUGAAUACUACUGCUGUUAGUCACAGGGACGAUUCAUCCGGUGAUCGAUGUUAGAGUUUAGGGACGCUUUGCCCUAACUGCCGCCGCCGCCGCCAUGUUAUAUCUUCUGGAAAAAAACAUAACUUGAGAUAGCUUCGGUAAAACAGGCAUAACUUUUCGCUCGUUUAUGAGAAAAAUCUGAAAUUUUUACAGCAGUUUCUUGACACCAUUUGGACUUGACCCAAACUGGGCAAAGCCCUGUUGGUCUCAUCAAAAUUUCCAAAAAAAUUAGUGAAAUAAAGAAAAAAAUUGACAAGGGUUUUGCAUGCUUUUUAGAGAACUUGCUGAAUUUCUGUAGACCACAUCUGACCUC